UCCCAGUUUAUCCCAGUGCCCCCAGCCCCAUUCCCAGCCCAAACCAGUAUAAACCAGUAUAAACCAGUAUAAACCAGUAUAAACCAGUAGGUUCCCGUACGGUUCCGGUCCAGCCGCAGCAGCCGCAGGCGGGGGAGGGGCGAGGCCACGCCCACCUCGGUCACGUGGUUCCCGGAGAGAUCCAGCUCCUGCAAACUGGGACGUACUGGGACAGACUGGGACGUACUGGGAUGGACUGGGAGGGACUGGGAGGGACUGGGAUCAAACUGGGAGGGACUGGGAGGGACUGGGAGGGACUGGGAUGGACUGGGACAAACUGGGAUCAAACUGGGAUAUACUGGGAUGGACUGGGACAAACUGGGAUGGACUGGGAUGGACUGGGAUGAACUGGGAUCAAACUGGGAUGGACUGGGAUGGGACUGGUUUAUACUGGGAGGGACUGGGAUCAAACUGGGAUAUACUGGGAUGGACUGGGAGGGACUGGGAUCAAACUGGGAGGGACUGGGAUGGACUGGGACGGACUGGGACAAACUGGGACGGACUGGGAGGGACUGGGAUCAAACUGGGAUGGACUGGGAGUUACUGGGACAAACUGGGGUGCGUUACUGGUGUAACUGGGUUGGUUACUGGCCUGUACUGGCCUGUACUGGCCUGUACUGGUCUGUACUGGUCUAUACUGGUCUAUACUGGUUUGUACUGGUCCAUACUGGUUUCUCACCCGCAGCCUCCGCAGCGCCCCCAGCGCCGGCAGCGCCCGCAGUUCGUUCCCAGCCAGAUCCAAGCGGCUCAGGGCGCCCAUCCGCUCCACCAACGGCAGCGAGGUCAGGCCCUAAACCAGU
rnacentral:lncRNA from 1 species